rnacentral:rRNA from 1 species
AACGAACGCUGGCGGCAUGCCUAACACAUGCAAGUCGAACGAGACCUUCGUGUCUAUUGGCGCACGGGUGCGUAACGCGUGGGAACCUGCCCUUAGGUUCGGAAUAACUCCCCGAAAGGGGUGCUAAUACCGGAUAAUGUCUUCGGACCAAAGAUUUAUCGCCUUUGGGUGGGCCCGCGUUGGAUUAGCUGGUUGGUAGGGUAAAAGCCUACCAAGGCGACGAUCCAUAGCUGGUCUGAGAGGAUGAUCAGCCACACUGGGACUGAGACCCGGCCCAGACUCCUACGGGAGGCAGCAGAGGGGAAUAUUGGACAAUGGGCGAAAGCCUGAUCCAGCAAUGCCGCGUGAGUGAUGAAGGCCUUAGGGUUGUAAAGCUCUUUUACCCGGGAUGAUAAUGACAGUACCGGGAGAAUAAGCUCCGGCUAACUCCGUG